rnacentral:rRNA from 1 species
AUGGCUUUAGUACGUGAUCUUUGGUUGCCAAGUAGUUUGGACACGAUGAUAGGGCUAAUUUGGCCAUCUAUUGAGGCCGAAAAUUUUGAGUUGAGGCCUGGACUUAUUGCUCUCGUCUUGCAGAGUCAGUUUAGAGGAUUACCCAAUGAAGACCCUCAUGAGCACAUUUGUAAUGUCCUGGUGUAUGCCAAUACAGUCCAGUACCAUGGCGUUUCCCAAGAUGCUAUCAAGUGUAUGCUGUUCACAUUCUCUCUCAGAGAUGCUGCUAAGGACUGGUACUAUUCUUUGCCAUCAAGAUCAUACACUUGGGGUGAUAUUUCGCAAGCUUUCCUGCACAGAUAUUUUCCACUUUACAAGCAAGCUGCAAUUCGUGACCAGAUCCUCAGUUUUGCGCAAGAUGGAAGUGAGAGCUUGUAUGCAGCUUGGGAGAGAUAUAAGUAUUUGCUUAGAAAAUGUCCUAAUCAUGGGCAAAAGGAUUGGUUAGUGCUCCAGAUAUUCUAUAGAGGGCUGACACAUGCUUCGAGAGAUCUUAUUGAUAUGUCAGCUGGUGGAACAAUCAUGAACAAGACCGUUGAGGGUGCAAUUAUUCUCAUUGAGAGCAUUGCCUUCCACCAAAUGCAAUGGGGUUAUGAAAGGCCUAGUUCAAAUCCGAAGGUUGCAAGCCAUCUGCAAUCAGAAGCUGUGUGUUCCAUAAGUGAACAGAAAUCAUCCAUGGUGCCUAAUAUUCAAAACCAGCAUGUUUCAUUCCGGGGACAACAACAUUUCAGAGCUGAAUUAGAUCCUCCAUGUAGAAAGAUUGAUCUUACUUCAAGUAUCCUUGAUGAUGAUUAUGAUAUUUUUCAAGAUGAUGCAACCAUUGUAGAUCAGAUGGAAACCACAGUAGCAGAUCCAAUACCUCAUGGCAAUGAAACUGUCCAGACUGAGUCAAAGUUGCAAGAUGUUUAUGAGGAACCUACUCUGAUUGAUGCUAAGUGGAGACAACAAGAUAUGGAGAAAUUCACUUGUGUUAGUCAACUAUGUGACUGGUGGAAUUUAGUCGUGUCACCAAUUGCCCACACUUGUGUUACAACUAUAUCUGGGCUAUUUGUCAAGAAGAAAUCAUUAGCUCCACCGGUGGUUGCCUCUAUCUCAGUUAAAGAGAGUAUCUCAGAGAAGAAUAGUGAAGAUGAGAUUCCAAUUCCUGCACAUACAACUAAGCAAGUCGGAGACAUUCCAAGGAGAGAUAUACAAGAGGUUGAGUCAAAUUUAGAAGAGUUGAUACUUCAAUAUUUUGAGAAGAUCCCACAUGUUGCUGAGCUGCAUGACUGGUGGAAGUCAUCAGUGUCAUUGUUGAAACUUAGCAGUGAUGGUGAUGAGGAGAACAUUGCUCAGAAAGACAGCGAGGUAGUGAUCUCAGCACCCCUACCAGAUCAUGUUAGUGCAUAUUCACAGAUGGGGACACUCCAGACUCAAUUAGGUGUUGCUGGUAGUAGCACCAUAGAAGAUCCAGAGGAAGAGAGACCUCAACUUGAAGAAGAUUUACAAAAAGACAAGGAACAAGAUGAUCCAGAGCUCGAAUACCCAAAUGAACAAGUUGAAGAUCCAAUGUCUAUCUCUUCCGAAAAAGUAAAAGAAGCUGCUAUAGAUGAACUUGAAGAACCGGAAAUGCAUUUGCCCAUCGUCAUACAGGAGCGUGAUGUAGCAGGUUUAUCUAAUCCUCUUGAUGACAUGCGUCCGUAUAAUUUCUUUGCUACUACCUUGCAUUACAUGAUACCAUCACUUAAGAUUGAUUUGAAAACUCAUUUGCUUGUAUAUGAUGAUAUAUACCCUGUUAGUGGUAUUGCUCUCAUUUAUGAUGAUGACACUUAUUCUCCUCAUGCUAGUCCUUUGCUUAAUGAAACAUAUCAUUCCCAUGCUAGUCUUGAGCUUAAUGAUAAAUAUCAUCCUCAUGUUAGUGUUGACCUUGCUAAUUUCUACCACCCUAAACAUGUGCUUUAUAGCUAUGCUUAUGUAAUUGGAUAUUCGAUUGAUGACUUGGAGGGUAUUAUCCCUACCACUUGCAUUGUCUCUUUCAUUGAGUGCUCUUUCAGGUUCUUGCUUGUGCACGAAUCACUACAUGCUGACCAGGUUCGAGGUGACAUUCCUUGGGACCCCGGUGGAUCCUGA